AUGGCUCCCCCUAAGCCGUCCUCGUCUCCGAUGCCGGUUAUGGACGCACGGAUGAGGCUGAUAAUCCAGGCAGCAACACUGAUUAGUGUGAUUCAAGCAUGGGUCAUGUUCAUGCACGAGAGAGCUGUUCAUCGUACUGGGAGACCUUUGAUCCGCUAUGGUCCAUUGUUUCCCCGGGAACAGGAGAGGACCCAAAAUCUGAACUACAUCUACAACUGCAAUGACAUUGAGGCUCUGUGGAUGCUUAGAAUGAAAAGAGCACCAUUUGCCAGGCUUGUCGAGACCUUCAGGAGCAGGGGGCUGCUACAAGAUAGCAUCAACACCAAUGUCGAAGAGCAAGUGGCCAUGUUCCUCCAUGUUGUCGGCCAUAACCAGAGGUUCAGGGUCAUUCACAACACGUUCAGGAGAUCAAUGGAGACCAUCUCUAGGUACUUCAAGCAAGUGCUUUAUGCUAUUGGGGAGCUUAGAGGAGAGAUGAUCAGGUGA
rnacentral:rRNA from 1 species